rfam:Triticum aestivum genome assembly, contig: Triticum_aestivum_CS42_TGACv1_scaffold_112225_2AS
CUUCUACUCCCUCCGUUCGGAAUUACUUGUCUCGGAUAUGGAUAUAUCUAAAACUAAAAUACAUCUAGAUACAGCCAUUUCUGCGAUAAGUAAUUCUGAACAGAGGGAGUAUAAA